UACGAAGGGGGCUAGCGUUGCUCGGAAUUACUGGGCGUAAAGGGCGCGUAGGCGGACAGUUUAGUCAGAGGUGAAAGCCCAGGGCUCAACCUUGGAAUUGCCUUUGAUACUGGCUGUCUUGAGUUCGGGAGAGGUGAGUGGAAUGCCGAGUGUAGAGGUGAAAUUCGUAGAUAUCGGGAGGAACACCAGUGGCGAAGGCGGCGAUCUGGGAAGAUACUGACGCUGAGGUGCGAAAGCGUGGGGAGCAAACAGG
rnacentral:rRNA from 1 species